rnacentral:rRNA from 1 species
CCUACGGGAGGCAGCAGUGAGGAAUAUUGGUCAAUGGACGGAAGUCUGAACCAGCCAUGCCGCGUGCAGGAAGACGGCUCUAUGAGUUGUAAACUGCUUUUGUACAAGGGUAAACCUGAAUACGUGUAUUCAGCUGAAAGUACUGUACGAAUAAGGAUCGGCUAACUCCGUGCCAGCAGCCGCGGUAAUACGGAGGAUCCAAGCGUUAUCCGGAUUUAUUGGGUUUAAAGGGUGCGUAGGCGGAUUGAUAAGUUAGAGGUGAAAUGUCCGAGCUUAACUCGGGAACUGCCUCUAAUACUGUUGAUCUAGAGAGUAGAUGCGGUAGGCGGAAUGUAUGGUGUAGCGGUGAAAGGCUUAGAGAUCAUACAGAACACCGAUUGCGAAGGCAGCUUACCAAUCUAUAUCUGACGUUGAGGCACGAAAGCGUGGGGAGCAAACAGGAUUAGAUACCCUAGUAGUC